rnacentral:rRNA from 1 species
GGCGGCGUGCUUAACACAUGCAAGUCACGGGGGCUCGCAAGAGCAACCGGCGAACGGGUGCGUAACACGUGAGCAACCUACCGAUUUGUGGGGGAUAGCUGGCCUAACGGCCAGGUAAUACCGCAUACGCUCUUUUGGUCUCAUGACUGAUUGAGGAAACCUCCGGGGCAAAUCGAGGGGCUCGCGGCCUAUCAGCUAGUUGGCGAGGUCACGGCUCACCAAGGCGACGACGGGUAGCUGGUCUGAGAGGAUGGCCAGCCACAUUGGGACUGAGAAACGGCCCAGACUCCUACGGGAGGCAGCAGUGGGGAGUCUUGCGCAAUGGACGAAAGUCUGACGCAGCGACGCCGCGUGGGGGAUGACGGCUUUCGGGUUGUAAACCCCUGUUGCCCGGGACGAACUUCUUCCUUUGGGAAGAUUGACGGUACCGGGUGAGGAANCACCGGCUAACUCUGUGCCAGCAGCCGCGGUAAUACA